GACGGAGGGUGCAAGCGUUGUUCGGAAUUACUGGGCGUAAAGCGCGGGCAGGUGGCCCUUUAAGUCCUUUGUGAAAUUCCGGAGCUCAACUCCGGAUGUGCAUAGGAUACUGGAAGGCUAGAGACUGGUAGAGGCGAGCGGAAUUCCUGGUGUAGCGGUGGAAUGCGUAGAUAUCGGGAAGAACAUCGGUGGCGAAGGCGGCCAGCUGGGCCAUUGCUGACGCUGAUGCGCGACAGCGUGGGGAGCAAACAGG
rnacentral:rRNA from 1 species